UUACCCACUGCGGUGACCUCACCGGCGGGUGCCCUUGUGCCAGCGGUGGCGGCUGAGCCCCGCCGUGCCCUCCCGGCGCUGGGCACGGCUGGCACGCCGUGGGGCAGCGGCAGGGCUGCGCUGGCGGGCGCGCACCCGCGCGGAGCCGGCCCGGGGGACGCGCUCGGCGUUACCUGCACUCGCCCCCCGCGCGGCAGCCGCGGCUCUCCCAUGGCUCUGCCGGCGCCAGGCUGGACCCCGCGGCUCCAGGGGGAUCUUCUGCCGCGCUGCAAUAGAAAAGAUGGAAACGAGCUGAGAAGGGGCUGGAGGGAACUCUUGUGAGAAUGUGGAACGGCAGCCAGAGAGAGACUGCAGCACCUCUGCGCCCAUCAGCUGCCUCUCCUGGGAAGACACAGUCCCAGGAAUUCACAGAAGUCCCAGAAUCAGAAUUGACAUUUGUCAAACAAUAUGUUGGGAGCCGAGGCUGCAGCCAAGUCUGAGUAAUCCCAGCGGGAGAGCGCUCUGGGAUGGAGCCGGCAGAAUUCGGGAUUGGAGAGCCAGGCUGGCUGUGCCCCUGCCCCGGGGCUGGGCUGUCCCUGCCCACUCCUGCCACGGGACAGGGUUACCCAGGUCCUGACAGGGUCACUCAGGUCUUGCCCAGAGUCAACCAGGUCCUGCCCAG